CUGAGAAGUGGCUGGAUGGCAGCAGCACCCCAGGAUGGGCCGUGGCAUGGGGACAGAGCACCCAGCUAAGCUGUCCCUGUGUCCCACGUUGUGCUGGCUGUCACUGGGGCCGCUUAUCCAACGUCCUGCAGUACGUGUGGUGCUAUACCACUGCUCCUGCUGCAGCAGCCACAUCCUGGUGGUGUUGAGUCGUGCUCUGGGUAAAAAAGUUGGGGGGCUGGGGAUAGCUUUUCCUCCUCUGGCUAUCCAUCCAUCCCCUGUGUUCCCAGGUGCAGCAGGAGCUGCAGACUGAGAUGACGGGGUGACGCUAUGGGUGCUGCCUGGUGGCAGUGCCCCCCCCCCUGCCGUUGGAGGGGGCAUGGCUGGCAUUGCUGAGUGACACCCUAUCUGCCAGGCCCCGGCCAGCCGCGGGCCCAGAAUAGCAGCGCUGCCCUGCAGUCAGCAUGGAGCAACUCUCCGGCCCUGCCGCUCCCCAGAUGGUGCUGCUGGAUGCUGCUGCCCGCCCCAUGGAGGAAGGUGUGCCCACAGGGUUCCCAGAGGCACUACAUCCCAGGGGAAAUGAGGAGGAGGAGAAGGAAAAGCAGAAGGGCUCUGGGCCCAUCACUUUCACGCUGGGCAAUGAGAUCCUGGGGCUGGAACCUGACAACAAUUUCCAGAGCCCUGACGCUGAGGUCUACAUGCACUUCAUGAGGAGUCACUGCUGCUAUGACGCUGUUCCCACCAGCUGCAAGCUUGUUGUCUUUGACACCACGCUGGAGAUCAAGAAAGCUUUUGUGGCACUGGUGGCCAACGGGGUGCGGGCAGCCCCACUGUGGGACAGCAAGAUGCAGGCCUUUGUGGGUGAGUUCCUGGGCAGCCAGGGCAACAGAGGGACCGCUAUGGGAUGUGGGCAGAGUGGGCAGCCCCAUGUCUCUGCAGGGAUGCUCACCAUCACUGACUUCAUCAACAUCCUGCACCGCUACUAUCGCUCGCCCCUGGUCCAGAUCUACGAGGUGGAGGAGCACAAGAUUGAGACGUGGAGAGAGGUGUACUUGCAGGGCUCCUUCAAGCCGCUUGUCUACAUCUCCCCAAGCGAUAGCCUCUUCGAUGCCGUCUACUCCUUGAUCAAGCACAAGAUCCAUCGCCUGCCAGUCAUUGAGCCCAUCUCAGGCAACGUCCUGCACAUCCUCACCCACAAGCGCAUCCUCAAGUUUCUCCACAUCUUCGGCUCCACCAUCCCCAAGCCGCGCUUCCUAAAGAAAACAGUGCAGGAGCUGUGUGUCGGCACCUUCCGUGACGUGGCUGUCAUACCUGAGAAUGCUCCUGUGUAUGCUGCUCUGGAAAUAUUUGUGGACCGCCGUGUCUCUGCGCUGCCCGUUGUUAAUGCUGCAGGUCAAGUGGUUGGGCUCUACUCCAGGUUUGAUGUCAUUCACCUGGCAGCACAGAAGACCUACAACAACCUGGACAUCAGCGUGCGGGAGGCGCUGCGGCAGCGCACUGUGUGCCUGGAGGGCGUCCUCACCUGCUACCCCCACGAAACCAUGGAGGACAUCAUCGACCGCAUCACCGAGGAGCAGGUCCAUCGCCUGGUUCUGGUGGACGAGAACCGGUACCCGCGGGGCAUCGUCUCCCUCUCUGACAUUCUCCAGGCCCUGGUGCUCACUCCCGCAGGUAUCGAUGCUCUUAACUCUUAGCCCACGACGCUCCAUCUUUCUCCAUUCGCACCCUCCAUUUCUCUCCACUUCAGGCAUUGAUCGACACUCGCUCUGAGGACACCAGGGAAGUGCCACAGGCUCAUCCAACGCGGGGCCUCUUGCUCGGGUACCGCAGGGCCGUGGAAGGAGGCUGGGGGCCCAGGGGCUCUCCAUGGGGUGGGGCUGCCCACCUACCCUGGCCCUGGGAUUCACUCUGAGCCUGGGGCCAACUCCUGCCAACCUUGGGAGGAACAGAGCGGGGGAAAAAGGGUCCAAGCGUGCCUCCAGACUGCGAGCACACAGGGAUGCUCAGUAGGCACCGUGCCACCAGGAGCUGUGCAGCUGGACACAGGAACACCUGCAUGGCCCUGGGGGACCUUCAACAUCCCCCCCUCCCAGCGACUGCUGUCCCCUCCUGCUGUGAGACCCCAGUGCUUCAGGUCCCACUGGUUGUGCCGGGUGCCUGGGAGGAGCGCAUGGCUCAGCUGCACGCACAGGCUUGUUUUUUGUAGGGUCUCCAGGGCUGAGCGCUCUGGUAGAGGUGCUCACAGGGGGACCCUGUACACUGAUAGGGGGAUGGGGGGUAAUUUAUUUAUUUGCCAGUCUCUUCAGCCUUGCUGGAAUAAAGCAGCCUACCCUA